CUGCAAAUUCUUAAAAAAUAAAAUUUUGGGUAUUUUUAUUGAACUCAAAUAGAAGUAACCAACCUAGCUAGGUGUUUUGACCUAUUUUGCCUAUAAAUAGAAGCAGUGAGGAUAGGUUAGGUUAAGAGAAGGAUAGAUAGACUAGAAAGAGAGGAAGAGGAGGAUAAGCGGAACGGAACUUGGAUAAAGAUUAUGGGUUUCAUUUGAAUCAUGCAGUAACUUC
rnacentral:lncRNA from 1 species